UCUUUGCCACUGAGGUGAAUUACACCCCCAUUUGGUUCAAGUUAGCCUGAGCUCUUCACAGGAGAGGUAAAGUGCUUCUGCCCCCUGCCAGAGGAAAGAGGCGGUGGAGACAACUGCUUGAGCAAGAAGAUGGGCCAGUCUUCUUUCCACUUCUGUGUUCCAGUCUUUCCUCUUCUCUAAACAAAGGCUCCUGGUAUCCAGUACAAGACUUACUUACAUAGAGUGGCUAGAUGGACAGCCUUUCUUCCUAGGACCAUUAAUGCUGCUGAGAAGGACAGAGUUUCCUGUGCUGCAUGGUAGAGACUGCACGGGCAUCUAUUUGUAUAUGCACCUAUCUCAUUUUAUCUGUUGGCCUCUGGAGGGACAUUUCAGUUGCUUCCAUCUUGGCUGUUGCAGACAGUGUUCUGACGACUGUGGAGUGCAGACAUCAUCUCUUCCGCAUAUGGAUCCAGUUCCUUCAACUGUGUACCUAGAAGUGCAGUUGCCGGAUCAGAUGCAGUAACAGGGAGAGGACUCUACAAGUGGGUCUAGCCACGCUUGAUGCCACUGGAAGAGGGGACAGGAUAGACUUAGAAGGAAUCGCCUGCUCCAAAGAUCAAGG